GUCUGAUGUUCUACCACAACGUGGCGUCUGAUAAAAGUGAGGGGGGGGGGUUUGUUAUGUCUUUAUUGAGUAUUUAAGUAUCUUUUGAAACAAAUGACCUGUUCAUCUGUGGCCAUUCCAUCAGGAAAAAUUACCCAGUAUAGUUCAGGUUAUGAGAAGGACCAGCCACACAAUCCAGUGCUUCAGUUUUAAAAUGGAUAACUAAUUACAGAGGAUUGACUGAUGUUAGAAAGCUUAUCCAGUGGUAUAAAAAUAAGUAGAAAUAAAAUGCUAUAAGUUUAUUUCUGAGUUUUCUGAAUUUUUUCCCGAGAGAUUACACAGGAGACUCAGGAAAGUCUAUUUGUUCAUCAAGUUCCACUGUUAACACUGCUCUAUGGGUGAAGUGGUGGCAAGAAGACUGGCUUGUGUGCUGACUUCUGUUAUUUAGCAAGAAGUUUAUCAUUGUAAAAUGCUGAUUGCCAAUGCCAAGUCACCAGGGACCAAUUUUGUGUUUUGUACUAUCUCAGUUUAGAACAGAACAUACACCUGAACUGUAGUGGUUUGAUUGGAUGGAGGCAGAAAACCCAACUUUUAUUUUCAUAAAUUUUGUGGUUAUUUGUACAAGGGCUGUGCUAAGAUACCAUAUUCUUAAUUCAGUAAUGAUUUUUUUUUUAACAUUGUUAAAUGUUCCUUACUGCUAAAAGGUCAAUGUUAAGUACAGCAUUCAGAACAUAUUAUUUGGUUAAAAAAAGUAUUUGUCUUCUUAUUGAAGAGCUAGCUUAGUUGUCAGUGGUUGAUACUUGUGCUAAUAAUACAGAUUCAAGAUUACUGUUACAAGUUACAUCUAUAUAUGAGAGAGAUUCCAAGAACCAGCAGAGUCCUUGGAAACAACAAUUCAUUAAAUUUACUUAUGGCAGAAGGACUUAAGUGAACUAUAAACCACAUUUUAUUCCUUUAUAAUGUUACAUUCAAUUGUUCUUGCCUUUAGGAACUCACAUGAAUGCUUGGAGCUUAUCUGUAUGUCUGCAUGUGUGUAUGUAUGUGUGUGUUUGUCCUUUAUUCCUUAUUGUCAUUCCAUUAUAUAUCUACACCAACAUGGGAGAAGUUGUAUACAACAAUUAAAAGUUAUAUUUUGCUUCUUAGCUUUAUCUUGUUACCUUUGUAAUUAGAGUAUUAUGUUGUUAUUUAACCAAUGCAAAUCGGUUUUUGCCAGUCUCCCUAGAACAGGUUUUUAAAGGGCUUUGUUUAUAAUAGAAGCAGUAGUAUGAGGGACCUUCCUUCCUUUCUUUUUUGUAACAUUGUUUAUGCUGUAGUUGGGAAUUUCAUUACAGUGCAUUUUUUGCCCAUCAGAACCUCAGUUAAUCCACCUAGGAAAAACUGUGUCAAAGGGAAUGAGAAAGAAACUAUAUCUAAGUCCUCCUUAGAACUAAGAGAAUAAUUCCUUUUGACCAUUUAAGCCAUUAUAAAUGCUUAUUUUGGAAAAGUAUAACCUGUUUAGAUGCAUCAGCAAUUAUAGACCAGAAAUUAAAUGCUUAAAUUAAAAUUAAUCAAAGCCUCAAAAAUCAAUAUGGUUUUGUAAAGACUCACUGGGAGUACUUGAGAAUUUUUUCAUCUUUCUGGUAAGAAUUUCUGUUUUAGUAUUUGUUUUCUAGUUGAUUAUUUUCUAACUAAUUGAAAAUUAUAUUAGACCUAUUAGCUUCUGACCAUUCUGCUUUAUGACCACAGGCUUCUUCCCUUAGACAGACAGCUAUGUUAUAUCUGCAUGCCUUUGUUUUGUGGAAGGACUUAAUAAAAGAGUGUAUAGUUCAGUGGCUUUAUUAGAAAAAUGACUUGGAAUAUAUAUACCCCAGUGAAUGCCUUCUCAGAUGUUGGAGAGUGACUUUGGAAUCAGAUUAAAGAACUAUCCUGCACAGAAGUGUUUAUGACUUUCAGUGACAAACUGACUCCAGUGACAUUGAGCUAAUUUCUUUUGAUCUAAUGAAUGUAUCUGCUUCACCUUGUUCCCUUACUUUGAAUUGAUAAGCUCCAAGUAUUUAUUACUUUUUUGGGAUACUUUUUACUGAGUUCAUUCAUUUGUUUUAGUCUUUUAAUAAGUAUACUACAGUUAUUUCAUUAACCUGUUCUCAAGUGGUUUAGCUACCAUUCUGCCAUUUAAGUUUUUAAUUUAAUUUUAUUUGCUUGAGUACACUGAUCAACCACUGAGCUGCCUUCUUCCAUUGUCCUGCAAUGAUAUAAGGGUUACAUUUUUGUGUAUAUGGCUUUCAUAGUUGGUAUUUCAGAGCACUGACACCAGAUACUUCAGUUUAUUCUCUGGGGGAACUUCAUUUGCAUCUAUGUUUUUAGCUAUCUGUGAUAACUUGUUAAAUAUUAAAAAGAUAUUUUGCUUCUAUUGGAACAUUUGUAUACUCGCAACUAUAUUUCUGUAAACAGCUGCAGUCAAAAAUAAAACAUUGAAAGUUUUCAUUUUGUAGUGGUUAACUGUCUUUUUUCCUCAGACUUUGCCAGUGAAGUCAUAUCUAAGAAUGUCAGUUUUUAACAACGUGAAUAUGUGACUGAACUUAAAGUCAUUAGGAAAAGGUAUGAAAUAC
ensembl:lncRNA